rnacentral:rRNA from 1 species
UACGGAGGGGGCAAGCGUUGUUCGGAAUUACUGGGCGUAAAGGGCUCGUAGGCGGCCAACUAAGUCAGACGUGAAAUCCCCCCGGCUCAACCGGAGGAAUUGCGCUUCAAACCGGCAGGCUUGAGGAGGAUAGAGGUGGGCGGAACUGAUGGUGGAGCGGUGAAAUGCGUUGAUAAUCAUCAGGAACACCGGAGGCGGAAAGCGGUCCACUGGGUCCUUUCUGACGCUGAGGGACGAAAGGCU